rnacentral:lncRNA from 1 species
AUUACUAAUAAAUUAUCUUUUUUUUCCUUAGGCCAAUUAGAUGUGGGUUUUUGUCUUUUGAAACAAAAACAGUUCUUACUAGAGUAAAACGGGAGCAAGAUGAGUCGAUCACUUAUUAUAACACAUCGUGAUAAUAGACGUGUGCAGAAGUGCCUUGGAAUCUGUAACUGGGGAAGUGGGGCCACACCCAACCUGAGAGAUUUGGAGAAGGAAUCCCAAGAUGAGGAAUUACUUGGGCCAAUCGUAAAGAAUGAGUGGGAAUUGUCCAGGCUUCUUAGGUACCAGAUGCCAUCUAAUGGAUUUGGGAUAUAUCAGUGAACAAAGGGGUGAAGACCUCUGUCCAGUAGAGACAGACUGUGAAAAUAAUUAAAAGAGUAAGUAUUGUGUGUGCUGGAAGGCCAUAGUGCCAAGGAACAAAGGAAAAGCGUAGUCCAAGAGAGACCAAGAGUGCAAGGGAAAGUGAGAGAGCAGGUCAUAAUAUUACAUAGGGC